CUUUCAGUUCUCUUAAAAAAUUGCUUAAAAUUUUAACAGCAAGACCUUUCUUCCCUCCUUCGAGACAAGUGGAUAUUGUGCUUGCAUGUUGCAUUAUGCAUAACUAUAUCAUACCUCAUGGAGGGGGAGCUGGUUCCAACAGAUGAAGAUUGGAUUGCUCGGUUAUCUCAAUCAGCCAAGACAUUUCGGUUACGGAUUCAAAGAGAAUGCAGAGAUGAGGCUCAAAGGUCAUGGAGAGUGAAUCACAAAAUAAGUGAGGCACUAGAAAAGGAAAUUGUUUAAGUGGAAACCUACGAUGAGGACGAGCAGAUCUGAAAGUUGAUAAAUCCUUCAAACUCCAAUGAUCAAUCAUGCAGUGGCAGCAGUAAAUGAGCAAUUUGAAGUCAAGGUAACGGAAACAAAAUGUUACCAUGAGAACCCUUCAAGGCAAGUGGGUACAAAUUAUAGAACUGAAAGAGAAAGUGGCAUCGGGCGGGAAGAGAAAGAUAAGAAGAUUACAAUGGAGUCAAGGAGUACAACACAUACAUAUAGGACUGCUCCCCAUCCUUGGGCACAGCCAUCAGUCUCUAUAAUAAUAUAGUCAGCAUCUAAAGACAGAUUUAAAUCAGGUAAUUUAACAACUAAUUGUUUAAUUUUUUGAACUAACUUAAUAUCUUCAUGGUUAAAGGUCUUCUGUCCAUUUUUAGCAGUUUUAGAAUAAAGAGGCCCAGGUAUUUUACCUAAAUCUUUUAUGAAAUUUCGGGCACAGUUAAGUAGUCCUA